GGGCUGGGGCUCAGCGGUAGGGCGCUCAUCUGGCAUGUGUGAGGCCCUGGGUUCCAUCCUCAGCACCACA
rnacentral:tRNA from 1 species